ACUAAACUCCUGACGCUUCCGGAUAUGCUCCGCAGGGCCGUCGCCCUGUCUAAGCAGUAUACGCGAUUGGAGUACCGUAAUGGUGAGAAUUUCGCGAACCUGUGAUGGGGUAACAGAGCAAAUUCCAGGAGCCCGUGAAAAGGGUGAUGCAGUCCGUACCGAGAACUGACACAGGUGCCCCUCGCUGAGAAGGCGAAGGCGUGUCGGGAGUAAUUGUGCUAAGGGAACUCGGCAAAUUAGCCCUGUAACUUCGGGAUAAGGGGUGCCUGCCCAGAGAUUGGGCAGGUCGCAGUGACAAGGACGCUCCGACUGUCUAAUAACAACAUAGCAGACUGCAACUCCGAAAGGACUAGUAUAGUCUGUGAUUCCUGCCCAGUGCGAGUAUCUGAACACCGGGUUCAACCGGACGAAGGACUCGUAAACGGCGGGGGUAACUAUGACCCUCUUAAGGUAGCGUAGUACCUUGUCGCUUAAUUGGCGACUUGCAUGAAUGGAAUAACGAGAGCGUUACUGUCCCUAGCACAAACCCGUUGAACCUUUUGUCCUAGUGCAGAGACUAGGGACUCCUUAUGGGAAGUGAAGACCCCGUGGAGCUUUACUGCAGCCUGUCGUUGGGUUACGGUAUUACCUGCGCAGUGUAGAUGGGAGGCGUCGAGCCGGUCCUUGUGGGGAUCGGGGAGCCAACGAUGAGACACCAUCCUGGUUUUAUUGUAAUUCUAACUGGUUUUCCAGGACAUCGAUAGGUGGGCAGUUUGGGUGGGGCGCCACACCCUCGAAAAAAUAUCAAGGGUGCCCUAAGGUCAACUCAAGCGGGUCAGAAACCCGCUGAAGAGUGUCAAGAGCAUAAGUUGGCCUGACGUGAUUUCGCAUAGCAAGAAAUCACGAGAGGAAACUCGGGUCUAACGAACCAAUACGCCCUUUUGGUGAGGGCUAUUGACUACAGAAAAGCUACCCCGGGGAUAACAGAGUCGUCGCCGGCAAGAGCACAUAUCGACCCGGCGGCUUGCUACCUCGAUGUCGGUUCUUUCCAUCCUGGCUGUGCAGCAGCAGCCAAGGGUGAGGUUGUUCGCCUAUUAAAGGGGAUCGUGAGCUGGGCUUAGACCGUCGUGAGACAGGUCGGUUACUAUCUAUAAGGAGUGUCGGGAGUCUGAAGGUAAGAAUGAAAUAGUACGAGAGGAACUUUCAAUCGGCGCCACUGGUCGACCGGUUGUUCGACAGAGCAUUGCCGGGCAGCUACGCGCUAACUGAUAAAAGCUGAAAGCAUCUAAGCUUGAAACAUCGCCUGAACAAGAGACUCCAUUAAAGACCCGGAUAGAAGAUCCGGUCGAUAGGAUUGGGAUGUAAGCACGAAGGCAACGACGUGUUCAGUCCGCGAUUACCAAUAGUCC
rnacentral:rRNA from 1 species